GACGAACGCUGGCGGCGUGCCUAACACAUGCAAGUCGUACGGAGUUCACUUGGAAGCUUGCUUCCGAGUGAACUUAGUGGCGGACGGGUGAGUAACGCGUGAGCAACCUGCCUCACAGAGGGGGAUAACACACGGAAACGUGUGCUAAUACCGCAUAAUCCGAUGAAGCGGCAUCGCUUUAUCGGCAAAGGAGCAAUCCGCUGUGAGAUGGGCUCGCGUCCGAUUAGAUAGUUGGUGAGGUAACGGCUCACCAAGUCUACGAUCGGUAGCCGGACUGAGAGGUUGGACGGCCACAUUGGGACUGAGACACGGCCCAAACUCCUACGGGAGGCAGCAGUGAGGGAUAUUGCACAAUGGGCGAAAGCCUGAUGCAGCGACGCCGCGUGAGGGAUGACGGUCUUCGGAUUGUAAACCUCUGUCCUUGGUGAAGAAGAAGUGACGGUAGCCAAGGAGGAAGCCACGGCUAACUACGUGCCAGCAGCCGC
rnacentral:rRNA from 1 species